rnacentral:rRNA from 1 species
AUUGAACGCUGGCGGCAGGCCUAACACAUGCACGUCGAGCGAGCGGCGGACGGGUGAGUAAUGUCUGGGAAACUGCCUGAUGGAGGGGGAUAACUACUGGAAACGGUAGCUAAUACCGCAUACCAUCAGAUGUGCCCAGAUGUGAUUAGCUAGUAGGUGGGGUAACGGCUCACCUAGGCGACGAUCCCUAGCUGGUCUGAGAGGAUGACCAGCCACACUGGAACGGAGACACGGUCCAGACUCUUACGGGAGGCAGCAGUGGGGAAUAUUGCACAAUGGGGGAAACCCUGAUCCAGCCAUCCCGCGUGUGGGAUGAAGGCCUUCGGGUUGUAAAGCACUUUUGGCAGGAAAGCGGUACCUGCAGAAUAAGCACCGGCUAACUACGUGCCAGCCGCCGCGGUAAUAC